AACGAACGCUGGCGGCGUGCCUAACACAUGCAAGUCGAACGGAAUCAAGGGGCUUGCUCCUUGGUUUAGUGGCGCACGGGUGAGUAACGCGUGGAUAAUCUGCCCUGGUAUCCGGGAUAACAUUUCGAAAGAGGUGCUAAUACGGGAUAAGCCCACGGGAUCUUCGGAUCUUGCGGGAAAAGGUGGGGACCUUCGGGCCUACCGUAUCAGGAUGAGUCCGCGUACCAUUAGCUAGUUGGCGGGGUAACGGCACACCAAGGCGGCGAUGGUUAGGUGGUCUGGGAGGAUGAUCGGCCACACGGGAACUGAGACACGGUCCAGACUCCGACGGAAGGCAGCAGUGGGGAAUUUUGCGCAAUGGGGGAAACCCUGACGCAGCAACGCCGCGUGAGUGAUGAAGGCCUUCGGGUCGUAAAGCUCUGUCAGAGGGAAAGAAGUGUAAGUCGGAUAAUACCCGGUUUACUUGACGGUACCCUCAAAGGAAGCACCGGCUAACUCCGUGCCAGCAGCCGCAGUAAGAC
rnacentral:rRNA from 1 species